rnacentral:rRNA from 1 species
CCUACGGGAGGCAGCAGUGGGGAAUAUUGCACAAUGGGGGGAACCCUGAUGCAGCAACGCCGCGUGGGUGAAGAAGUACUUCGGUAUGUAAAGCCCUGUCAGCAGGGAAGAAAAUGACGGUAACUGACCAAGAAGCCCCGGCUAACUACGUGCCAGCAGCCGCGGUAAUACGUAGGGGGAAAGCGUUAUCCGGAUUUACUGGGUGUAAAGGGAGCGUAGACGGCAAGGCAAGUCUGGAGUGAAAGCCCGUGGCUCAACCACGGGACUGCUUUGGAAACUGUGUUGCUGGAGUGCAGGAGGGGUAAGCGGAAUUCCUAGGGUAGCGGUGAAAUGCGUAGAUAUUAGGAGGAACACCGGUGGCGAAGGCGGCUUACUGGACUGUAACUGACGUUGAGGCUCGAAGGCGUGGGGAGCAAACAGGAUUAGAUACCCCUGUAGUC